UAGCUCAGUGGUUAAGAGUACUGGCUGCUCUUCCAGAGGUCCUGAGUUCAAUUCUCAG
rnacentral:tRNA from 1 species